rnacentral:rRNA from 1 species
AUAAGAUUGUAGCUUCGCAUGAAGUAGCAAUUAAAGGAGCAAUCCGCUAUGAGAUGGGCCCGCGGCGCAUUAGCUAGUUGGUGAGGUAACGGCUCACCAAGGCGACGAUGCGUAGCCGACCUGAGAGGGUGAUCGGCCACAUUGGGACUGAGACACGGCCCAGACUCCUACGGGAGGCAGCAGUGGGGAAUAUUGCACAAUGGGGGAAACCCUGAUGCAGCAACGCCGCGUGAGUGAUGACGGCCUUCGGGUUGUAAAGCUCUGUCUUCAGGGACGAUAAUGACGGUACCUGAGGAGGAAGCCACGGCUAACUACGUGCCAGCAGCCGCGGUAAUACGUAGGUGGCGAGCGUUGUCCGGAUUUACUGGGCGUAAAGGG